GUAGGGAAUAUUGCACAAUGGGCGAAAGCCUGAUGCAGCAACGCCGCGUGCACGAUGAAGGCCUUCGGGUCGUAAAGUGCUUUUCGGGGAGACGAGGAAGGACGGUAUCCCCGGAAUAAGGAUCGGCUAACUACGUGCCAGCAGCCGCGGUAAAACGUAGGAUCCGAGCGUUAUCCGAAUUCACUGGGCGUAAAGCGCGUGCAGGCGGAUCAGUAAGUUGGAUGUAAAAUCUCCUGGCUCAACUGGGAGGGGACGUACAAGACUGCUGGACUAGAGGAUGGCAGAGGAAGGUGGAAUUCCCGGUGUAGUGGUGAAAUGCGUAGAUAUCGGGAGGAACACCAGAGGCGAAGGCGGCCUUCUGGGCCAUACCUGACGCUCAGACGCGAAAGCUAGGGUAGCAAACGGGAUUAGAAACCCUAGUAGUCC
rnacentral:rRNA from 1 species